AGCUCCAAUAGCGUAUAUUUAAGUUGUUGCAGUUAAAAGCUCGUAGUUGGAUUUCGGGUGAGGUCUGCCGGUCCGCCGUUUCGGUGUGCACUGGCGGGUUUCAUCUUUUUGUCGAGGACGCGCUCCUGGCCUUGACGGUUGGGACGCGGAGUCGGCGAGGUUACUUUGAAAAAUUAGAGUGUUCAAAGCGGGCAUACGCUUGAAUAUAUUAGCAUGGAAUAACACUAUAGGACUCCUGUUCUAUUUUGUUGGUCUUCGGAACGGGAGUAAUGAUUAAGAGGAACAGUUGGGGGCAUUCGUAUUUCAUUGUCAGAGGUGAAAUUCUUGGAUUUAUGAAAGACGAACUUCUGCGAAAGCAUUUGCCAAGGAUGUUUUCA
rnacentral:rRNA from 1 species